rnacentral:misc_RNA from 1 species
AAGUCGUAACAAGGUUUCCGUAGGUGAACCUGCGGAAGGAUCAUUGAUGAAUAUUAGGGCGCUCUUUUCACCAAAGAGGCCUGACCUUCAUUUUCUACCCUGUGCACAUUAUACUACAUUUGACAGUUGGUAGUUUGGCUUCACGGCCUUACGACUCUGUCAAAUUCACACUUAAACUCUACAAGUUAAAGAAUGUUAAAAAUCAUAACAAAAAAAAACUUUCAACAACGGAUCUCUUGGCUCUC